ACGGGAGGUAGCAGUGGGGAAUAUUGCACAAUGGGGGAAACCCUGAUGCAGCGACGCCGCGUGAGUGAAGAAGUAUUUCGGUAUGUAAGGCUCCAUCAGCAAGAAAGAAAAUGACGGUACUUGACUAAGAAGCCCCGGCUAACUACGUGCCAGCAGCCGCGGUAAUACGUAGGGGGCAAGCGUUAUCCGGAUUUACUGGGUGUAAAGGGAGCGUAGACGGUAUUGCAAGUCUGAAGUGAAAGGCGGGGGCUCAACCCCUGGACUGCUUUGGAAACUGUAGUACUAGAGUGCAGGAGAGGUAAGUGGAAUUCCUAGUGUAGCGGUGAAAUGCGUAGAUAUUAGGAGGAACACCAGUGGCGAAGGCGGCUUACUGGACUGUAACUGACGUUGAGGCUCGAAAGCGUGGGGAGCAAACAGGAUUAGAUACCCUGGUA
rnacentral:rRNA from 1 species